rnacentral:rRNA from 1 species
GACGAACGCUGGCGGCGUGCUUAACACAUGCAAGUCGAACGGGAACCUUUAUUUCGGUAAAGGUGAGAGUGGCAAACGGGUGAGUAACACGUAGGCAACCUGCCGACAGGAUGGGGACAACAUUCCGAAAGGAAUGCUAAUACCGAAUGAAGUCACCGGAGGGCAUCCUCUGGUGAUGAAAGAUGGCCUCUGAAUAUGCUAUCACCUGUCGAUGGGCCUGCGUCUGAUUAGCCAGUUGGCGGGGUAACGGCCCACCAAAGCGACGAUCAGUAGCCGGUCUGAGAGGAUGAACGGCCACAUUGGGACUGAGACACGGCCCAGACUCCUACGGGAGGCAGCAGUGGGGAAUCUUCCACAAUGGGCGAAAGCCUGAUGGAGCAACGCCGCGUGAGUGAAGAAGGUCUUCGGAUCGUAAAGCUCUGUUGCACGGGACGAAAACCGAGCUUGAAAAUAUUGAGCUUGGGGACGUACCGAGCGAGGAGCCAC